rnacentral:rRNA from 1 species
GAUUAAGUUAUUAAGGGCGCACGGUGGAUGCCUUGGCACUAGAAGCCGACGAAGGACGUUACUAACGACGAUAUGCUUUGGGGAGCUGUAAGUAAGCUUUGAUCCAGAGAUUUCCGAAUGGGGAAACCCAGCACGAGUUAUGUCGUGUUAUCUGCAUGUGAAUACAUAGCAUGCAAGAAGGCAGACCCGGAGAACUGAAACAUCUUAGUACCCGGAGGAAGAGAAAGAAAAAUCGAUUCCCUGAGUAGCGGCGAGCGAAACGGGAAGAGCCCAAACCAAUAAGCUUGCUUAUUGGGGUUGUAGGACACUCUGUACGGAGUUACAAAAGAAUUUGUUAGACGAAUAACCUGGAAAGGUUAAUCAUAGAAGGUAAUAAUCCUGUAGUCGAAAACGAAUUCUCUCUUGAGUGGAUCCUGAGUACGACGGAGCACGUGAAAUUCCGUCGGAAUCUGGGAGGACCAUCUCCUAAGGCUAAAUACUCUCUAGUGACCGAUAGUGAACCAGUACCGUGAGGGAAAGGUGAAAAGUACCCCGGAAGGGGAGUGAAAGAGAACUUGAAACCGUGUGCUUACAAGUAGUCAGAGCCCGUUAAUGGGUGAUGGCGUGCCUUUUGUAGAAUGAACCGGCGAGUUACGAUCUGAUGCAAGGUUAAGCAGAAAAUGUGGAGCCGUAGCGAAAGCGAGUCUGAAUAGGGCGAAUGAGUAUUUGGUCGUAGACCCGAAACCAGGUGAUCUACCCUUGGUCAGGUUGAAGUUCAGGUAACACUGAAUGGAGGACCGAACCGACUUACGUUGAAAAGUGAGCGGAUGAACUGAGGGUAGCGGAGAAAUUCCAAUCGAACUUGGAGAUAGCUGGUUCUCUCCGAAAUAGCUUUAGGGCUAGCCUCAAGUGAUGAUUAUUGGAGGUAGAGCACUGUUUGGACGAGGGGCCCCUCUCGGGUUACCGAAUUCAGACAAACUCCGAAUGCCAAAUAAUUUAACUUGGGAGUCAGAAUGUGGGUGAUAAGGUCCAUAUUCGAAAGGGAAACAGCCCAGACCACCAGCUAAGGUCCCAAAAUAUAUGUUAAGUGGAAAAGGAUGUGGCGUUGCCCAGACAACUAGGAUGUUGGCUUAGAAGCAGCCAUCAUUUAAAGAGUGCGUAAUAGCUCACUAGUCGAGUGACACUGCGCCGAAAAUGUACCGGGGCUAAACAUAUUACCGAAGCUGUGGAUUGUCCAUUGGACAAUGGUAGGAGAGCGUUCUAAGGGCGUUGAAGCAUGAUCGCAAGGACAUGUGGAGCGCUUAGAAGUGAGAAUGCCGGUGUGAGUAGCGAAAGACGGGUGAGAAUCCCGUCCACCGAUUGACUAAGGUUUCCAGAGGAAGGCUCGUCCGCUCUGGGUUAGUCGGGUCCUAAGCUGAGGCCGACAGGCGUAGGCGAUGGAUAACAGGUUGAUAUUCCUGUACCACCAUUAUUCGUUUUAAGCGAUGGGGGG